GGUCAUAAAAGAUAAGAAGCUUAAUCUCAGGCAUUGUGACAGCCCAGAACAGCACACCAGGUCUACAAAGAGGGGGCUGUUGGGACACUCACAAACAUCUGCAAAAGGCGCAUUUGAUAAUGGAUGGUGCAAGAAGUUAGCUAGAAGAACUGAGAGUCGCAGUCUCACUUGUGGUGCCUUGCCACCAGCACCGUCUGUGUCCCUGGCAAGCUUGAAGCAGUUAAGACUUUACGCUUAUAAUGCUUAUUCCCUAAAUACAACGUGGAAAUUUUCAGAUUAAGAGAUUCAUUGCCUGAAACCGGAAAGCCUUGUCAGAAGCUCCAUGUAAGAGAAGCAAGCAUAAUACUGUGCUCACAGGGAUACCUGAGACCUGGCUUAAGCCAAAAGAAAUAUCUCUAAGCAGCGAUUCUCACGUGUGACUGAGUGAUCUCAGAGUGA